CCCAGCAGCCCUCUGUUUCCCUCUGGACCCAAGAGCAGAGUAGCUUCAGAAUGCUGGAGCUGAGAAGGAAGGAGGGCAGCUCUGCCUCAUAGAUUGCUCUGUCCUUGUGGUAAACAGCCCAUGCCUUCGGGGGUUGCCAGGGUGAUAGGAGUUAAGCCAUGAAAGGCUGUCAUUUGUUGCUGUCAUCAUGAUCACGGAGUACUGCAGAAUUUAGGCUUAGGCUCUUCUGCACAGAUUCCCUCUCCUUACUCAGGCCUUUUCACUAAAUAUGUAUUUUUCACAGCGUUGUAGGAAGACCACCUACCAUGAGGCCAAGCCUGACUGGAUUCCAGAAGAUUUCCCAGGGAUUUGGAGCACCACUACUUUCUGAAAG
rnacentral:lncRNA from 1 species